CAUUUAUGAGCAAACUUCGAGGUGGAUCCUGAGCUGCUGUUUGAUUUCACUGACACACUCACUAUUACAUUGGACAAUGCUGCGAGUCAGGUGUCUGAGAGGAGGUAGCAGGGGGGCCGAGGCUGCCCAUCUGAUCGGAGCCAUGCUUGGCCGGGCGGUGACUGGAUGGGUGCAGAAGGCCUCCCAGAGCACUUCAAGUGCAGCUGCUGCACAGCCGCAGCGUGCAGUUGAAGAGGAACAUGUUACUGAGCCCAUGCAGCAGGAAUGUCCUGUCUGCAGCUACAAUGAAUGGGACCCUCUGGAGGAGGUGAUCGUGGGCCGUGCUGAAAACGCCCAUGUGCCUCCCUUCAGUGUGGAAGUGAAAGCUAACACAUACGAGAAGUAUUGGCCCUUCUACAAUAAGUAUGGGGGCCAGUCUUUUCCUGAGGACCACUUGAAGAAAGCUGUUGCCGAGAUUGAAGAAAUGUGCAAUAUUCUGCGUCAGGAGGGCGUCGUUGUGAGGAGGCCAGAACCCCUCGACUGGUCCAUGGAAUACAAAACUCCAGACUUCACAUCCUCAGGCAUGUACGCUGCCAUGCCCAGAGACAUCCUUAUGGUUGUGGGAAAUGAGAUUAUUGAGGCUCCCAUGGCCUGGAGGGCUCGUUUCUUUGAGUACCGGGCCUACAGACCUUUGAUCAAGGAGUACUUCAGAAAAGGUGCUAAAUGGACCACUGCUCCUAAACCCACUAUGGCCAAUGAUCUGUAUGAUCAGAACUACCCCAUGCGCACUGUGGAGGACAGACACAAGCUGGCCGCCCAGGGGAAGUUUGUGACCACAGAGCACGAGCCCUGCUUUGAUGCUGCUGAUUUCAUCCGAGCUGGGAGGGAUCUGUUUGUCCAGAGGAGUCAGGUUACAAAUUACAUGGGAAUUGAGUGGAUGCGUCGUCAUCUGGCCCCAGACUACAAGGUCCACAUAAUCUCAUUCAAGGACCCUAACCCCAUGCACAUUGAUGCCACUUUUAACAUAAUUGGGCCAGGACUGGUGCUGUCAAACCCUGAUCGUCCAUGUAACCAGGUCGACAUGUUCAAGAAGGCCGGCUGGACUAUUGUGAAACCUCCAGUGCCUCUGAUCCCUGAUGACCACCCACUGUGGAUGUCCUCCAAAUGGCUGUCCAUGAAUGUCCUGAUGUUGGAUGAAAAGCGUGUUAUGGUUGACGCCAAUGAAAACAGCAUUCACAAAAUGUUUGAAAGUCUUGGUAUCAAGACCAUAAAGGUGAACAUUCGCCAUGCCAAUUCCCUGGGUGGUGGCUUCCACUGCUGGACAACCGAUGUCCGCCGCCGUGGUACCCUGCAGUCCUAUUUCCACUAGCCUUGCCAGAAAUAGGCAGUUUUUAUUGAGCUUUGAAGAUGAAAGCCUCAAUCCUAAAUCUUAAUACCACUUUAAUUGUUAUUGUCAGUGAAUCACGUACGUACACACAGACUAAUUAAGGGUGGAGCUUUGUGAUACAAAAAUCUACUGUUGGCAAAUUUCUAUCUCAAAAACUAUCCACUGAAAUUUGGGUGUUUGGGUGCUGCAGUUCAAAGUCAAACCUCAGAGCAGUUUACUCUCCUAACCUGGAUGAAACAAACUAAUAAUGGGGCAAUCUUAUCUUGACGGGUGGCACCAAACUGCUUCUCUGGAUUGGGUCUUAAUGUCCUAAAUUAACAUGUAUGAAUUGUUUUGAUUUGACAUUGCUGUGCAUCAGAGUGCCUUUGCAAACAGCUUUGUUCAGAUAUGCUCAAUAGCAACAAAUGAACAUCACUUUACUUCAAUUAGUAAUCUCAAUAUUAACUGAAUUUCUGGCCUGGCUAUUGUGAAGCUGAAUUGUUUAUGACCUCUACAUCUAAAAGUCAUAACUUUGAGGACAAGGUACAAUUUGGUAUGUGAAACAAGGGCACAGGAGGAGAAAGAAUGCAUCCUCGUAAAAAAAAAAAAAAAAAAGUCAGAAACCUUAAUUCUGUCUUUUUCCAAAGUAUUUUUAUAUUUAAAGAAAUGUAUAAAAGUUUUUAUGUAGGUCAUUAAACAAUAUUAAUUUCUUGCUGGUAUAUUAUUUGUAAAGAUAUUAAUUGAGAAGACAAAGUAUUUUUCAUACUCUUUAUUGGAUUUCCCAACAAAUAGAUGUUUUUAUAUAUUUACUUAAAGUAUGCGGUCCAUAUCAGAUAUUGUAUACCUUUUGCCUCUGCUGUUUUCUCCUAUUGCAAAUCUGGGCCAGUUAUAUGCUACUAGUUGUUCUCACUGCUUGGCUGCUUUUGUGUGGAAAGCAAAAAAAUGCCUAAAGAAUGAAAGGUGUUUUGUUGUGAAGAUUUAUGUUUUAUAAUUCUUUUGCUGCCUUUACAGUUGGAUAUAAGAUGUUUACCUCUUCAAGUCUAUCUUGAUAUUGCUUUUGAAACAAUGAACUUAAAGGACGUUAUGGCUAAAUAGAGGAAUGCAAAUUAUGUUUUGUAUCAAGCAAGAUUAUUAAAUGUAAUUAAAAAGAGUUGUGUGUCA